AUGUGCGGACAUGCUAAUCUCGGAACAGCGGCCGCAGAGUCGAUCGGGCAGGCUGAACGACAGACGCUAGCUAACGCGUACGAACUACUAGCAGACACAUCGCGUAUUGACAGCGUCGAUCGAUGUCCACGCAAAAGACGAUCGACUUUCUCACUCGCAGCGCGCGCCAUGUGGAGAUGGACAAUGAAAAUGAUAUCCCCGCGCAGAGGGACGUGGCGUCUAACCAGCACGGUCGGUCGAUCAUGUGAUGUGCCUCUCAGAGGUCAGAGCCCUGCAAAGCACACGCAGCUCGCGGACAAAUGA
rnacentral:rRNA from 1 species